AAACUACUACUGAAUUACAAGGUCAAUAAAUCACACCAAGGCAUUAUGGAAAAUAAUAAAAAAAGGUAUGAGAUCAACCACUGCUACUCACCAAAGAGAAAAACAGCAGAAAGGCCACUCCAAAUAUUCAGAUUAAAUUCCAACAUAAAGUUAUAUUUUGACUUAGAUUGAAAAGGACAGACUGUAUAUGACUGAAAAUGAAUGUAUAUCAUACAAGUGUGAAGUGACAAAUUAUAUAACAAAUUCGAGCUACACAGAACUUCACUGAUAUCUAAUAACUCAGAAAUUGCAGUGUUUGUAUGGGAACAAGUACAGUCAAUUUUAUACUCAUGUCUAUGUAAAACUGAGUAUGAUCAACCUAAUUCAUUAUUUCCUCCUCAUUUUUAAAGACUUUUAUGACAAAAAAAUUUGUCCUUACAGUAUAGCUAUUUUUGGCCGAUCUGUGUGUAUCACCUUAACGUAGGUCUGUGUAACAGUUAAUUUUAUGACUUAA